UACAGAGGUCUCAAGCGUUGUUCGGAUUCAUUGGGCGUAAAGGGUGCGUAGGCGGCGCGGUAAGUCAGUUGUGAAAUCUCCGGGCUUAACUCGGAAAGGUCAACUGAUACUGUGCGACUAGAGUGCAGAAGGGGCAACUGGAAUUCUCGGUGUAGCGGUGAAAUGCGUAGAUAUCGAGAGGAACACCUGCGGCGAAGGCGGGUUGCUGGGCUGACACUGACGCUGAUGCGCGAAAGCCAGGGGAGCGAACGGG
rnacentral:rRNA from 1 species